GUGUUUCCAUGAAGUCUGCAAAGCUCAACAACACACCAGUUCUUCAUCCUCAGGGACUGAUGUGAUGGUCGAACUCUCGCCGCUUCGGUUUCAGAGCUAGCAUGCGUUCACUAGCGACGGUUAAGCCGAGACUCGCCACAUGCUGUCUCCCAGAAUGCCUCUGGAUAUUAAACAGGACUGUUUUUAA